rnacentral:rRNA from 1 species
UUAAAUUGAAGAGUUUGAUCAUGGCUCAGAUUGAACGCUGGCGGCAGGCCUAACACAUGCAAGUCGAACGGUAACAGAAAGCAGCUUGCUGCUUUGCUGACGAGUGGCGGACGGGUGAGUAAUGUCUGGGAAACUGCCUGAUGGAGGGGGAUAACUACUGGAAACGGUAGCUAAUACCGCAUAAUGUCGCAAGACCAAAGAGGGGGACCUUCGGGCCUCUUGCCAUCGGAUGUGCCCAGAUGGGAUUAGCUAGUAGGUGGGGUAACGGCUCACCUAGGCGACGAUCCCUAGCUGGUCUGAGAGGAUGACCAGCCACACUGGAACUGAGACACGGUCCAGACUCCUACGGGAGGCAGCAGUGGGGAAUAUUGCACAAUGGGCGCAAGCCUGAUGCAGCCAUGCCGCGUGUAUGAAGAAGGCCUUCGGGUUGUAAAGUACUUUCAGCGGGGAGGAAGGGAGUAAAGUUAAUACCUUUGCUCAUUGACGUUACCCGCAGAAGAAGCACCGGCUAACUCCGUGCCAGCAGCCGCGGUAAUACGGAGGGUGCAAGCGUUAAUCGGAAUUACUGGGCGUAAAGCGCACGCAGGCGGUUUGUUAAGUCAGAUGUGAAAUCCCCGGGCUCAACCUGGGAACUGCAUCUGAUACUGGCAAGCUUGAGUCUCGUAGAGGGGGGUAGAAUUCCAGGUGUAGCGGUGAAAUGCGUAGAGAUCUGGAGGAAUACCGGUGGCGAAGGCGGCCCCCUGGACGAAGACUGACGCUCAGGUGCGAAAGCGUGGGGAGCAAACAGGAUUAGAUACCCUGGUAGUCCACGCCGUAAACGAUGUCGACUUGGAGGUUGUGCCCUUGAGGCGUGGCUUCCGGAGCUAACGCGUUAAGUCGACCGCCUGGGGAGUACGGCCGCAAGGUUAAAACUCAAAUGAAUUGACGGGGGCCCGCACAAGCGGUGGAGCAUGUGGUUUAAUUCGAUGCAACGCGAAGAACCUUACCUGGUCUUGACAUCCACAGAACUUUCCAGAGAUGGAUUGGUGCCUUCGGGAACUGUGAGACAGGUGCUGCAUGGCUGUCGUCAGCUCGUGUUGUGAAAUGUUGGGUUAAGUCCCGCAACGAGCGCAACCCUUAUCCUUUGUUGCCAGCGGUCCGGCCGGGAACUCAAAGGAGACUGCCAGUGAUAAACUGGAGGAAGGUGGGGAUGACGUCAAGUCAUCAUGGCCCUUACGACCAGGGCUACACACGUGCUACAAUGGCGCAUACAAAGAGAAGCGACCUCGCGAGAGCAAGCGGACCUCAUAAAGUGCGUCGUAGUCCGGAUUGGAGUCUGCAACUCGACUCCAUGAAGUCGGAAUCGCUAGUAAUCGUGGAUCAGAAUGCCACGGUGAAUACGUUCCCGGGCCUUGUACACACCGCCCGUCACACCAUGGGAGUGGGUUGCAAAAGAAGUAGGUAGCUUAACCUUCGGGAGGGCGCUUACCACUUUGUGAUUCAUGACUGGGGUGAAGUCGUAACAAGGUAACCGUAGGGGAACCUGCGGUUGGAUCACCUCCUUACCUUAAAGAAGC